rnacentral:lncRNA from 1 species
CAAAAAAUCAGGAGAAAGCAAGAGAGGAGCUGGUUUCAGUCAUGCUGAAAAGGAAAAAAAAAAUCAACACUUUCUGGUUUUGUGAAAAUACAGGACUAAGUAGAGAAGGAAGCCCCUCUUCGCUUACCCUCUGCAGGACUGACUACAAGAGCUCGGCUGCUAUUAGGCAUCAGAAACCCACAUGGCUGAGUCCCUUCCUGGGCUUCAUUGCUUCUGCUCCACAGGAACUCACUCAGAUAAAUGUCACCCGAAGCAGUGCUCCAAGAGACUGCAAUCAUGAUUGCCAAUAGCCAACAUCCAAACUAAAAAUAAAAAGCCACAGCAUGGGACUGAGACA